rnacentral:rRNA from 1 species
UACGUAGGUGGCAAGCGUUGUCCGGAUUUACUGGGCGUAAAGAGCGCGCAGGCGGUCGUUCAAGUCGCGUGUGAAAGCCCCCGGCUCAACUGGGGAGGGUCACGCGAUACUGAUCGACUCGAAGGCAGGAGAGGGAAGUGGAAUUCCCGGUGUAGUGGUGAAAUGCGUAGAUAUCGGGAGGAACACCAGUGGCGAAGGCGACUUCUGCCUGUUCUUGACUGCUGAGG